rnacentral:tRNA from 1 species
AAUGAAAUGCCUGAUUAAAAGGACUAUCGUGAUAGGGUAGAUCAUGCAAAUUUAUUUGCUUUCAUUA